AGAGUUUGAUCCUGGCUCAGGACGAACGCUGGCGGCGUGCUUAACACAUGCAAGUCGAACGAUGAACCUUCCAUGAUCUAUUCGUAGAGAUUGGAAGCGGAUUAGUGGCGAACGGGUGAGUAACGCGUGAGCAACCUGCCUUAAACAACGGGAUAGCCUCGGGAAACCGGGAUUAAUACCGUAUGAGACCCCGCCUUCACAUGAAGAAGAGGUUAAAGAUUUAUCGGUUUAAGAUGGGCUCGCGUCUGAUUAGCUAGUUGGUGAGAUAAAAGCCCACCAAGGCAACGAUCAGUAACCGGCUUGAGAGAGUGAACGGUCACAUUGGAACUGAGACACGGUCCAAACUCCUACGGGAGGCAGCAGUGGGGAAUAUUGCACAAUGGGGGAAACCCUGAUGCAGCGACGCCGCGUGAGCGAUGAAGGAAUUCGUUUCGUAAAGCUCUGUCCUAGGGGAAGAUAAUGACAGUACCCUUGGAGGAAGCCCCGGCUAAAUACGUGCCAGCAGCCGCGGUAAUACGUAUGGGGCGAGCGUUGUCCGGAAUUAUUGGGCGUAAAGGGUACGUAGGCGGUUUCAUAAGUCAGAUGUAAAAGCGUGGGGCUCAACCCCAUAAAGCAUUUGAAACUGUGGAACUUGAGUAGUGGAGAGGAAAGUGGAAUUCCUAGUGUAGCGGUGAAAUGCGUAGAUAUUAGGAGGAAUACCAGUGGCGAAGGCGACUUUCUGGACACAAACUGACGCUGAGGUACGAAAGCAUGGGGAGCAAACAGGAUUAGAUACCCUGGUAGUCCAUGCCGUAAACGAUGAAUGCUAGUGUCGGGGGUCAAACCUCGGUGCCGCAGUUAACACAGUAAGCAUUCCGCCUGGGGAGUACGGUGGCAACACUGAAACUCAAAGGAAUUGACGGGGACC
rnacentral:rRNA from 1 species